rfam:Ovis aries breed Texel chromosome 7, whole genome shotgun sequence.
UCCCUAGUGGCUCAGUAGUAAAGAAACUGCCUGCAAUGCAGGAGACCUGGGUUUGAUCUCUGGCUUGGGAA